GGCCUUGCCAGAACUUCUCACAGAGCCCAUAGGGCUUUCAGUUUUCUGCUCCGAGACUUGUCAAUGACUUUUUCUUCUAAAUCUUUGUUUCUUCUUUUCGCUUUUGCCUUGGUGCUUGUUCUCUUCAUCUCAUUUCAAGUUUGUGCUUUGGCUGGUGAAGCAAUAAAAAGCAGCGCGGCGGCCGAUUAUGGAAAGCAUAUUCUCGGACAUGAUGACUCGUGCCCGAGCGAGUAUUCCCUCUAUUAAAAUAGAAUUUUCAGUAAUAGAGGAUUAUGUAAUAGGUUGUUACAUGUCGUCCACAUAUGUUUACAUUAUUUAAUAAAGGUGCUACGUAUGGUGAUUGAGAUGGAUCGAGCUAGGCAUUGAUGAAUGAUACCCAAUUAAUGUUUAAUAUCUAGUUAGCAUGACUUUUUAUGUUGUAAAAUUUGACGAAAAAUAUUGUUUUACCAUGACUAAUAGGUUUAAUAUAUAUUUUAAAAUUAUAUUCUGACUUGGAAUCCAAUUUUACCAUCAUAAUUUCCAUUUAAAUCAUAUAUAAUAAUUAUUAAGAAAUGUGCUUGAUUUCAAAGCUCCAAAAUUCUUACAAACACCAUAACAAGUGAGUUCAAACAGUGUCAGAAAAAUCUCAUUCCACAUAUUCAAACACCUACAGCAACAGUAGCUAUGAUGUCACCAGUGCCUAAUGCAUGUCAAGCCUGCUCUCUUGUUGUUUAAGAUGAAACACAACGACAAAUGACAUCAGAAUCAACUGAAAAAUUUUCCAUUGCUAUUGCAAUUCAGAAUUGACCAAACAAUUUUAAAGACAAGUACUGUGAAUACUGCAAUAGAGUAGGUCAUAUAAUUGAAAAUUGUGGGACUCUAAAAUUUCAUUGCAAAUAUUGUGAUAAAAGAGGUCAUACUGAAGAAAGGUGCAGGUUUAAAAAUGACACAUGGGUUCCCAACAACAUAAGAACUCAAGGCAAUCGACAAAGUCAACCACACCAGCAACAACGUAGGUAUCAAGAAUUCCAACCCUAUUGUUAAUGCAACAGACUUUUCCCAAUCUGCACAUGGCAAUUCUCCAACCUGCUGGACUCUUUACAUAGGGUUUUCGUAGACCAACUUCAACAACUUGCCCGUGCUGUGUCCAUGAUGAUUCCAAACCAGGCUUCCGGUAAUAGAAAUGCUUAUGCAAAUGCUACAGGACUUGACCAAGGGGAAGGUGAUUGACUCGACUAAACAACGAGGUGGUCUCUAUUACAUGUCUCUGUUGCAAAUAACACCUAUUGCUCAUCAAGUUUCUCACCCUUCAAAUUUGUGGCAUAUGCGUCUUGGCCAUCUAUCACCAUUUUGUCUUAAAUUAGUUUCUCCAUUGUUGCCUUCCAAUGAUAUCUCUAAUGAUAAUAAUUAUUUUGUUUGUCCCAUGGCUAAACAAACUAGACUUCUAUA